UACGAAGGGGGCUAGCGUUGUUCGGAAUUACUGGGCGUAAAGCGUGCGCAGGCGGCUUCUCAAGUCAGGGGUGAAAGCCCAGAGCUCAACUCUGGAAUUGCCUUUGAGACUGAGUGGCUUGAGUACGAGAGAGGUGGGUGGAAUUCCCAGUGUAGAGGUGAAAUUCGUAGAUAUUGGGAAGAACACCGGUGGCGAAGGCGGUUCACUGGCUCGUAACUGACGCUCAUGCACGACAGCGUGGGGAUCAAACAGG
rnacentral:rRNA from 1 species